rnacentral:rRNA from 1 species
UACGUAGGGGGCAAGCGUUGUCCGGAUUUAUUGGGCGUAAAGAGCGUGUAGGCGGCCACACAGGUCAGCUGUGAAAACUCGAGGCUCAACCUCGAGACGUCGGUUGAAACCGUAUGGCUAGAGUCCGGAAGAGGAGAGUGGAAUUCCCGGUGUAGCGGUGAAAUGCGCAGAUAUCGGGAAGAACACCUAUUGCGAAGGCAGCUCGCUGGGACGUCACUGACGCUGAGACGCGAAAGCGUGGGGAGCAAACAGG